rnacentral:lncRNA from 1 species
GCCACAGCCCUAGCGGCAUGGAUCCAGGGUCGUCCCAGCAAUAAGUUGUAAGAGGCCGGUAUGUCAAUGACUUGGAAUUCAACAUCAAACCAAGUGGGGCCCAUUUUCAGACACAGGCUAAUCUCUCCCGAGAGUAUACCUCUGAGAACCGUCAAAAGCUUUAACAUUAAUAGCCCCAUCUUUUAUCUCGUGCAACCCUUUGCCCAACUUCUUGAGGGUGAUCAGUGGACAAAUGUUGAGACUAGAACCUCCGUCAACUAAG